AGCGAACGCUGGCGGCAUGCUUAACACAUGCAAGUCACACGGGCGAGGGGCAACUCUGUCAGUGGCGGACGGGUGAGUAACGCGUAGGUAUCUAUCCUUGGGUGGGGGACAACCGUGGGAAACUACGGCUAAUACCGCAUGAUGACUGAGGUCCAAAGCUCGCGAGAGCGCCUGGGGAGGAGCCUGCGUACGAUUAGCUUGUUGGUGGGGUAAAGGCCUACCAAGGCUAGAUCGUUAGCUGGUCUGAGAGAUGAUCAGCCACAUUGGGACUGAGACACGGCCCAAACUCCUACGGGAGGCAGCAGUGGGGAAGUAUUGG
rnacentral:rRNA from 1 species